rnacentral:rRNA from 1 species
UUAGUGCCUUCGGGAACCGUGAGACAGGUGCUGCAUGGCUGUCGUCAGACUCGUGUUGUCAAAUGUUGGGUUAAGUCCCGCAACGAGCGCAACCCCUAUCCUUAUUUGCCAGCACGUAAUGGUGGGAACUCUAGGGAGACUGCCGGUGAUAAACCGGAGGAAGGUGGGGAAGACGUCAAGUCAUCAUGGCCCUUACGAGUAGGGCUACACACGUGCUGCAAUGGCGAGUACAGAGGGUUGCAAAGCCGCGAGGUGGAGCUAAUCUCACAAAGCUCGUCGUAGUCCGGAUUGGAGUCUGCAACUCGACUCCAUGAAGUCGGAAUCGCUAGUAAUCGUGGAUCAGAAUGCCACGGUGAAUACGUUCCCGGGCCUUGUACACACCGCCCGUCACACCAUGGGAGUGGUGCUGCAAAAGUAAGUGGGUAGCUUAACUUCGGG